rnacentral:rRNA from 1 species
GACGAACGCUGGCGGCGUGCUUAACACAUGCAAGUCGAACGGAAAGACCCUGCUUUUGUGGGGUGCUCGAGUGGCGAACGGGUGAGUAACACGUGAGUAACCUGCCCUUGACUUUGGGAUAACUUCAGGAAACUGGGGCUAAUACCGGAUAGGAGCUCCUGCUGCAUGGUGGGGGUUGGAAAGUUUCGGCGGUUGGGGAUGGACUCGCGGCUUAUCAGCUUGUUGGUGGGGUAGUGGCUUACCAAGGCUUUGACGGGUAGCCGGCCUGAGAGGGUGACCGGCCACAUGGGGACUGAGAUACGGCCCAGACUCCUACGGGAGGCAACAGUGGGGAAUAUUGCACAAUGGGCGGAAGCCUGAUGCAGCAACGCCGCGUGCGGGAUGACGGCCGUCGGGUUGUAAACCGCUUUCGCCUGUGACGAAGCGUGAGUGACGGUAAUGGGUAAAGAAGCACCGGCUAACUACGU